rnacentral:rRNA from 1 species
UACGUAGGGGGCAAGCGUUGUCCGGAUUUAUUGGGCGUAAAGAGCGUGUAGGCGGCCAGGCAGGUCCGUUGUGAAAACUCGAGGCUCAACCUCCAGACGUCGACGGAAACGGCGCGGCUAGAGUCCGGAAGAGGAGAGUGGAAUUCCUGGUGUAGCGGUGAAAUGCGCAGAUAUCAGGAAGAACACCAAUGGCGAAGGCAGCUCUCUGGGACGGUACUGACGCUGAGACGCGAAAGCGUGGGGAGCGAACAGG